rnacentral:rRNA from 1 species
GAUGAACGCUGGCGGCGUGCCUAAUACAUGCGAGUCGAGCGAACGGACGAGAAGCUUGCGGCUCUGAUGUUAGGGGCGGACGGGUGAGUAACACGUGGAUAACCUACCUAUAAGACUUGGAGAACGUCGGGAAACCGGAGCUAAUACCGGAUAAUAUUUUGAACCGCAUGGUUCAAAGGUGAAAGACGGUCUUGCUGUCACUUAUAGAUGGAUCCGCGCUGCAUUAGCUAGUUGGUAAGGUAACGGCUUACCAAGGGAACGAUGCAUAGCCGACCUGAGAGGUUGGUCGGCCACCCUGGAACUGGGAAACGGUCCACACUCCUAAGGCAGGCAGCAGUAGGGAGUCUUCCGCAAUGGGCGAAAGCCUGACGGAGCAACGCCGCGCGAGUGAUGAAGGUCUUCGGAUCGUAAAACUCUGUUAUUAGGGAAGAACAGAUGUGUAAGUGCCUGUGCACAUCUUGACGGUACCUAAUAAGAAAGCCCCGGCUAACUACGUG